rnacentral:rRNA from 1 species
AUGGGCAGUGCCUGCUCAAGGAACAGAGGCCAAGUGGUCCAUGAGGAUCAACUGUACAGUGUCAAGUUCUCCAAGAGCGGCAGCUUCAAGUGGCUGCUCCACACGCUGUCACGCAGCAGCUCUGAUGUGCUCCGGAAGUCGCAGGGACCGGGCCCAGGUUGCCGCCCGUCGCUGGUGGAACUUUGCGUGGCCAGAGUCCGUGAGGACAUAAGUAGGUAUUCAGAUUUCUCCAUGCUGCCUAGGGAUCUUAGCCAGCAGAUAUUCAACGAACUGGUGCGCUGUAGCUACAUCAAUGAGGAGUUGCUGGGAGCUUUUCGCGACUGUGCUUUGCAGGAUAUUUGUCUGGAUGAGUACCCUGGAGUGAAGGAUGCUUGGAUGGAAGUAAUCGCUUCUCAAGGGCAGUCCUUGCUAUCUGUUGAUAUCUCUUGCUCUGAUGUGACUGAUAGUGGAUUGAAUCUUCUCAAAGAUUGCUCAAAUAUGCAAAGUCUGGCAUGCAAUUACUGUGAUCGAAUUUCUGAGCAUGGACUUAAAACAGUGUCAGGCCUCUCAAACUUGACAUCGCUCAGCCUUAAGAAAUGUGCUGCUGUUACAGCUGAAGGAGCAAAAGCCUUUGCAAAGUUAGUUAACUUGGUAAAUUUGGACCUUGAGCGAUGCCCAAAAAUUCAUGGUGGCCUUGUUCAUUUAAAAGGCUUGAGAAAACUGGAAACACUGAACAUGAGAUAUUGUAACGGCAUCACAGAUUCAGAUAUGAAGUAUUUAUCAGAUUUUACGAGCUUGAGAGAGUUGCAACUGUCUUGCUGCAAAAUAAGCGAUUGUGGUGUUUCUUAUCUGAGAGGUCUGUCCAAACUAUCCCACCUAAAUCUGGAGGGCUGUGCAGUGACUGCUGCUUGUUUGGAAGCUAUAUCAGGAUUGGCUUCAUUGGUUUUGUUAAAUCUCAAUAGGUGUGGCAUAUGUGAUGAAGGCUGUGAGAAAUUGGAAGGUCUUGUCAAAUUGAAGGUUCUUAAUUUAGGGUUCAACCACAUUACAGAUGCCUGCUUGAUUCAUCUACGAGAAUUGAUCAAUUUGGAGUGUUUGAACUUGGACUCAUGCAAGAUUGGUGACGAGGGACUAUUGCACCUGAAAGGCCUUUUGCAGUUAAGAAGUUUGGAACUUUCGGACACUGCAGUUGGAAGCAAUGGACUUCGUCAUCUCUCUGGUCUUCGGAAUUUGCAUAGCAUGAAUCUCUCUUUUACAGUGAUUACGGACAUUGGUCUGAAGAAAAUUGCUGGCAUGAAUUCACUGAGGUCACUUAAUCUUGAUAAUCGCCAAAUCACAGACAAUGGCUUGGCAGCUCUUACAACUCUGACCGGAUUAACGCACCUUGAUCUUUUUGGAGCUCGUAUAACUGAUGCUGGGACAAACUGCCUCAGAUGUUUCAAGGGUCUGCGGUCUCUGGAGCUCUGCGGUGGGCUAAUCACCGACGCUGGAGUGAAGAACAUCAAGGACCUCAAAGACCUGACGUUGCUUAACCUAUCCCAAAACGGCAACCUCACAGACAAGACCUUGGAGAUAAUCUCGGGCCUGACCGCUUUGGUCUCGCUGAACCUGUCGAGCUCCCGGGUAUCCAACGCCGGCCUCCACCAUCUGAGGCCGCUGCAGAACCUGCGCUCGCUGUCGCUCGACUCGUGCAAGGUGACGGCCUGCGAGAUCAAGAAGCUUCAGCUGGCCGCCCUCCCCAACCUGGUAAGCGUGCGGCCGGAGUAG